rnacentral:rRNA from 1 species
ACACAUGCAAGUCGAACGAGACGAUUGAAAGCUUGCUUUUGAGAGUCGAGUGGCAAACGGGUGAGUAACGCGUAGACAACCUGCCGUAAAGAUGGGGACAACAGUUCGAAAGGACUGCUAAUACCGAAUGUUGUAGAGUUUCCGCAUGGGGAUCCUACUAAAGGUGGCCUCUACUUGUAAGCUAUCGCUUUACGAUGGGUCUGCGUCUGAUUAGCUAGUUGGUGGGGUAACGGCCUACCAAGGCGACGAUCAGUAGCCGGUCUGAGAGGAUGAACGGCCACAUUGGAACUGAGACACGGUCCAGACUCCUACGGGAGGCAGCAGUGGGGAAUCUUCCGCAAUGGGCGCAAGCCUGACGGAGCAACGCCGCGUGAGUGAAGAAGGGUUUCGACUCGUAAAGCUCUGUUGUCGGGGACGAAUGUGGAGAUGGUGAAUAACCAUUUCCAAUGACGGUACCUGACGAGGAAGCCACGGCUAACUACGUGCCAGCAGCCGCGGUAAUACGUAGGUGGCGAGCGUUGUCCGGAAUUAUUGGGCGUAAAGGGAGCGCAGGCGGGAAGGUAAGUCUAUCUUAAAAGUGCGGGGCUCAACCCCGUGAGGGGAUGGAAACUAUCUUUCUUGAGUGCAGGAGAGGAAAGCGGAAUUCCUAGUGUAGCGGUGAAAUGCGUAGAUAUUAGGAGGAACACCAGUGGCGAAGGCGGCUUUCUGGACUGUAACUGACGCUGAGGCUCGAAAGCGUGGGGAGCGAACAGGAUUAGAUACCCUGGUAGUCCACGCCGUAAACGAUGAAUGCUAGGUGUAGGAGGUAUCGACCCCUCCUGUGCCGGAGUUAACGCAAUAAGCAUUCCGCCUGGG